AUACGGAGGGUGCAAGCGUUAAUCGGAAUUACUGGGCGUAAAGCGCGCGUAGGCGGAUUGAUCAGUCAGAGGUGAAAUCCCAGGGCUCAACCCUGGAACUGCCUUUGAUACUGGCAGGCUUGAGGCCGGGAGAGGGUAGUGGAAUUCCCAGUGUAGAGGUGAAAUUCGUAGAUAUUGGGAAGAACACCAGUGGCGAAGGCGGCUACCUGGACCGGUUCUGACGCUGAGGUGCGAAAGCGUGGGGAGCAAACAGGAUUAGAUACCCCAGUAGUCC
rnacentral:rRNA from 1 species